rnacentral:lncRNA from 1 species
UCUAAUAGAGGUGCAUUCUCCAUAAUCUUCUCUAAUAUAUAUAUAUCUUACCUAAUUAAAUAGGAUCACUUAAUCUAAUCUUCUUUAAUAGAGGUGCAUUCUUCAUAUAUCUUACCUAAUUAAAUAGGAUCACUUAAUCUAAUCUUCUCUAAUGAAACGUGAAAAGAGGUGCAUUCUCCAUAAGCAUAAAAUAUGUGAUAUGCUAUAUGUAAUAAGGAAAAAAUUUUA